UAGGGAAUCUUCGGCAAUGGACGAAAGUCUGACCGAGCAACGCCGCGUGAGUGAAGAAGGUUUUCGGAUCGUAAAACUCUGUUGUUAGAGAAGAACAAGGACGUUAGUAACUGAACGUCCCCUGACGGUAUCUAACCAGAAAGCCACGGCUAACUACGUGCCAGCAGCCGCGGUAAUACGUAGGUGGCAAGCGUUGUCCGGAUUUAUUGGGCGUAAAGCGAGCGCAGGCGGUUUCUUAAGUCUGAUGUGAAAGCCCCCGGCUCAACCGGGGAGGGGCAUUGGAAACUGGGAGACUUGAGUGCAGAAGAGGAGAGUGGAAUUCCAUGUGUAGCGGUGAAAUGCGUAGAUAUAUGGAGGAACACCAGUGGCGAAGGCGGCUCUCUGGUCUGUAACUGACGCUGAGGCUCGAGAGCGUGGGGAGCAAACAGG
rnacentral:rRNA from 1 species